rnacentral:rRNA from 1 species
UAACCGUGCGAAGGUAGCGUAAUCACUUGUUCUUUAAAUAAGGACUAGUAUGAAUGGCAUCACGAAGGUUAUACUGUCUCCUCUUUUUAAUCAGUGAAACUAAUCUUCCCGUGAAGAAGCGGGAAUUAAACUAUAAGACGAGAAGACCCUAUGGAGCUUUAAACCAUGUAGCACUUGCACCCAUUUAACACAAAUUUCAGAAAAAUAUAUUAUACCAAUGCAAGAUUACUACCAGUUUUAGGUUGGGGUGACCGCGGAGCAAAAAGAAACCUCCACAUUGAAAGGAACCCAUUCCUUAGCCAAGAGUCACACCUCUAUGCAUCAUAACAAUGACAUUAAUUGACCCAAUAUUUUGAUCAACGAACCAAGUUACCCUAGGGAUAACAGCGCAAUCCACUUUAAGAGCUCCUAUCGACAAGUGGGUUUACGACCUCGAUGUUGGAUCAG